AUGCCUGUCUGGACAGGGGCUGGGGCAGCAAACUAUCAAGGGAGGACCGAUAGGAUCAAAUUCCUUUUCACAGAACAAAUGCUUCUUUGAGGAUAAGCAGGACCGGCCCGAGGCCGUGGAGGACGCAGAUGAGUCACCGGAGAAGGGACCAGAACUAAGAACGCAUUGCAUCCCUCAGCCAACGCUGGAUGCUCCUCUGUGCCAGACACUGCCCUGGGCCUUAAGGACAGAGCAGAGAACGAAGCAGCCAAGGCCUCAGCCUUGUGCGGUUCACACACAAGGAGAGGAAACGGAAAAUAAAAGAAUUCCGAUUGUGGGAGGUUUUAUGAGGGAAAUAAACUGAGUGAUGCGAAGCAGGGGUUGGCAAACUACGGCCCGCGGGCCAGAUCCCGCUCCAGGGCUCUUUGUCCGCCAGCAAGCUAAGAACGGUUUUACGUGUCUAAAGCUUGUAAAAAAGAAAAAGAAUAUGCCACAGAGACCGUACAGCCCACAAAGCCUGGAGGUUUGCUCUCUGUAUGGAAAAAGUCUGCCAACUCCUGGCGAGAGCAGGGGCAGCUCUGAACUAGUAAGGUCUGCGCUCCUACCUCGUAACGCGGCCUCUUUCUACUCCCCCAGAGCUGCCUCCACCUCAGGGAGAAUAAAACAUUGAAAUGGUUCGUCAAAAGUUCACCGGAGUUGGCAACCUGCCCGCAGCCAAGAGUCCGGAUUUCCGGACGCCUCCUUCCCCACCUGCUGUCUGGGGUCUUAAGUAACCUGGUCCUCAAUCUGGCCACAGCUGUGCCUGCCCCUCUCCCCAACCGGCAGGCCCAGGAGCCACACAGGCAACAGCUUCUCCCACGGACCCCCAAGCUUCUCCCACGGACCCCCAACCCCUCCGCUCACCUCCGACUCCCGCCUGAACUACUUGGUCAAAAAUAGAACCGGGUGGAUCCCUAUUUCAAGGCACCUCCCUGGAAAUCCAAUACCCAGAAACACUGACUUCUUUUAUUUCAGUCAAAUACAUUUCUCAGUCCAAGGCUCAGAGUUCAACUUUACAAACCCUGGCAUUUGGAAACAAAGGAAGAGAUGUUUAUGUCCAAAGAAAAUCAAAUAGUCACCUCUAGCUCCCCUGGAAGGAAAGUCCAUAGGACACAUUCCAGCAGAAACUGUGAAUGGAAACCCACGGGAAGCAAGAAGUAUGGCACAAAGCCCUGAGCUCACCACUCAGCAGCAUCUGUGACACAUUCCGCCACAUUUCUGUGCCAAACGGGAACUCAGCUGUCUCUUAAAAAAUAUCUGUCCCAUCAAUGUUCAACACAGAGCCUCUCCUCUUACACAGCCCUCACCCUGGAAGGUUCCAGAAGACCAUUUUGUUCACAGUGAAAUCUCGAGUAAAUUUCACUCGAACAGUUAACUUUGAAAUUGUUACACUAGCCAUUCCCUAACAUUAAAAUAACUCGCAUGUGCACACAAAGGGAUACAAUAAAUUCUUACUAUGGUGAUGGGGAAACGUCUCGUGAAAGGUGAUGGAUGGAACACGCUCACCUGUGAUUCCUCCCCGAAUCCUAUUAAAACCCUAGUAAAGAGAUUCUUUAAAGGAAUAAAUGCACAAGAAUAUAAAGAGUAAGAAACAGCAGGCACUAAAUUUGGAAGCUGGAAAGCAGAUGGAUAAAUGGUAACCAAUAGACUAGAAGCCAGAAAGCCGAGGGGAGAAAGCUAAGACUCCACCUGAUUCACACAAAAGACCCCCCAGCAGGAGGGAGCAGCUACAGGGCCUCCUGGCCGGAGGGUGAAAGAGGGGUUGGAAACAGAAGGAUUAGCUGAGAGUCGACCUAAGGAGAAGUGAGACCUCUCCCAUCCCCCAUAGUUGGCCAAAAGCCCCUUCUGCCUCCAGAAGGCUGGAAGCUGAGUCUUUGGAGAAAGUGAAACAGGAUGUCCACACUAGGGACAUCAAGGACCUAUGGGAAGGAAGGACCUGAGCCAAAAAUAGGAAAUCAAAUCACAGCUGACACACUGGACAUCGAGAGCCACAGUCUUCUUCCCCGACUCAGAUCUCAGAGUGCCAACAAAAAAGGAGAUUGGAAAAUUUCACUGAGGAAUCUGAUCAAGUCAAAAGAGCUGCGGGAGCUAACAUUUGUUUUGUGUCCUCUGAGGACAAAUGAUAGACAGGUAACAAUGUUUUCCCUGCUUUUCUUUCCGGGAACACUUAAUUUAGAAUUAACUUCUGUCAGAGAAAACAAUUGCCUGCACCUACUCUAUAUUAUUUCCCACUGUUGCUAUUUCAGAGGGGGAAACAGUACACUGCGUUUGACAUGUCUGAUUACAAGUUUACAGUCUACUUAUGUUUCUGCUGAUACUGUUUCUCAAGGCAGCUGAACAAAAUCACCCUGCAGCAGGGUCUCCACUUUACCUGCAAUUAGUAUCAACUGGGGAGCUUUCAAACCAUAUGGACGGCAGAGCCCCACCCUCCAGAGACUCUGAUGCAGUCAGGCAGGGAGGGGUCAGGCAUCCUAGUUGUAAAACUCCCCAGGUGAUUCUAAUCUGCAGCAAAAAUUAAAAACCACUGAAACGGAAAACACUAAAAAAGUGAAGCCUGCAGUUGACAAGGCCACUCAUGCAAUCAGAGCACCCAAAGAGCAUUUUAGUAUCUACUUUUAAAUGUGACUGGACAGGCAGGGGUCACUAGAUAUCUGAGAAGAACUUAUACUGUGAAAGACAGAACAAAAUAAUCAAGUACAUGAAAGCUACUUGGAGGAAACAGAAAUGACUCAGGAAGAGAAAAAUCUUUGGGGGAAAGGGAGUAUCAUCAAUUUCUCAGAUCUUAGAUUCUCAAAG
rnacentral:lncRNA from 1 species